rnacentral:rRNA from 1 species
GAGCCUGACCAGCCAAGUAGCGUGAAGGAUGACUGCCCUAUGGGUUGUAAACUUCUUUUAUAUGGGAAUAAAGUGGGGUAUGUAUACCCUUUUGUAUGUACCAUUUGAAUAAGGAUCGGCUAACUCCGUGCCAGCAGCCGCGGUAAUA